UACGGAAGGCAGCAGUGGGGAAUAUUGCACAAUGGGCGAAAGCCUGAUGCAGCUAUGCCGCGUGUAUGAAGAAGGCCUUAGGGUUGUAAAGUACUUUCAUCGGGGAGGAAAAACAAAACUAAUAAUUUUAUUUCUUGACGUUACCCGAAAAAGAAGCACCGGCUAACUCCGUGCCAGCAGCCGCGGUAAUACGGAGGGUGCUAGCGUUAAUCAGAAUUACUGGGCGUAAAGAGCACGUAGGUGGUUUUUUUAAGUUCAGAUGUGAAAUCCCUGGGCUUAACCUGGAACUGCAUUUUGAAACUGAAAUACUAGAGUAUCGUAGAGGGAGGUAGAAUUCUAGGUGUAGCGGUGAAAUGCGUAGAUAUCUGGAGGAAAUACCUGUGGCGAAAGCGGCCUCCUAAACGAAUACUGACACUGAGGUGCGAAAGCGUGGGGAGCAAACAGGGAUUAGAUACC
rnacentral:rRNA from 1 species